AAAGCGCAAUGGAUAGCGCGUUGGACUCCUAAUUCAAAGGUCAUAGGUUGGAAUCCUACCUGGGAUG